CGUGGCCCAAAGUGAGAACUUCUAUUCCGGUUUUCCUGCUUGAAUGUUGCCUUUUUCUAAACACCUAUGCCCACUCCACCCCAUCCUGCGCCUAUAAAGACCCCAGACUCAGCCAUCAGAGAGAAGAAGCAGCUGGACAACAGGUCGACUACAGCUGGACGAUGGAGAGAAGCAGGUUGACUUCAGAGGGACAGUUUAACGGCAUAACUUCGGAGAAGAAUCCAGCCAGAAACAGCCGAACUUCAGGGGGGAAACAAGAAGAAUCCUAGAUGUCUCAAUGAGAUGAAGAAUUGCCUACUGUUUAUCACCCUGACCCAGUCUUUCUCCCCAAGACAAGGUCUGGAAACUAAAAGUCCAUGAUCAAGGCAUCAGCAGAUCAACGUCUGGUAAGAGUCAGCUUCCUGAUGAGCAGAUGCCUCCCUGACUUAAUCUCACUUGUUGGAGAGCAAGAAAAGAGGAUGUUUUCCUGUCACUUCCUAUAAGGGUGCUAAUCACAGUCAUGUGAGCUCCACUCUUAUGACCUAAUUAUCUCCCAAAGGCUCCAUCUCCUAAUAUCAUCAUAUUGAAGGAAUGAAGCAUAAAACAUGAAACCAUUAACAUGAAAGCAGUGUUGGAAGAAGACAGGAACGUGGAAGAAUAAGACAUAAAGAGAGAGAGAGAGAAUGAGGGAACUAAAGGGUUUUAUAGAGCUGAGAUGCUCAAGAGUUAG
rnacentral:lncRNA from 1 species